rnacentral:lncRNA from 1 species
AGAGGGGGGCAAGGGGUUUAACUGUUAUGCUGUUAUGGGGCAUUUUAAUUCUUUGUUAUCUGUUAUUCUGAAAAUAUAUUUACUGUUAGCUGUUAUUGUCUUAUUCUUUGUUAGCUGUUAUAGGACUAUUAUCUAUUUUGUUAUCUGUUAUUGUGAGAAUCUAUUUGCUGUUAACUGUUAUUGAAAAUUGGAAUGUUAGCAUUUUGACAGCCAAUCUUCCGUAGAAAUUGAAGAUAAUUGAAAAUUGUGAUUUGAAUGGAUAAUAGUCUCAUUGACACGCUUACCACAUCUUCUUACAAUGUAUAUCUAUUGGGGUCUUUCUACUGGUAAUAUCGGGUGGCCCUGUAUUUGCAGAAGAAUUUCAGUAACAUACAUCACAUAAACAUAUUAAAAUCAAUUGGAUCCAGGACAUUCCAAUAUAUAUUAUUAUUAUCCUUUGUAAUAAAUUCCGUUGUCUGUGAACAUGUAGCAUUUUGUACAAAUUAUAAUUCACUUAUUACUUGUACAAUAAC